rnacentral:rRNA from 1 species
CCCUAGUAACGGCGAGUGAAGCGGCAACAGCUCAAAUUUGAAAUCUGGCCCUAGCGGUCCGAGUUGUAAUUUGUAGAGGAUGCUUUUGGCGCGGUGCCUUCCGAGUUCCCUGGAACGGGACGCCUUAGAGGGUGAGAGCCCCGUACGGUUGGACGCCUAGCCUCUGUAUAGCUCCUUCGACGAGUCGAGUAGUUUGGGAAUGCUGCUCUAAAUGGGAGGUAAAUUUCUUCUAAAGCUAAAUACCGGCCAGAGACCGAUAGCGCACAAGUAGAGUGAUCGAAAGAUGAAAAGCACUUUGAAAAGAGGGUUAAAUAGCACGUGAAAUUGUUGAAAGGGAAGCGUUUGCGACCAGACUUUUUCCGGGCGGAUCAUCCGGUGUUAUCACCGGUGCACUUCGCCCGGUUUAGGCCAGCAUCGGUUCUCCUAGGGGGAUAAAGGCUUAGGGCACGUGGCUCUUUCGGGAGUGUUAUAGCCCUUCGCGUAAUACCCCUCGGGGGACCGAGGAACGCGCUCUGCAAGGAUGCUGGCGUAAUGGUCGUCAACGACCCGUCUUGAAACACGGACCAAGGAGUCGAACAUUUGUGCGAGUGUUUGGGUGUCAAACCCUCACGCGUAAUGAAAGUGAACGGAGGUGAGAGCCCCUCGGGGUGCAUCAUCGACCGAUCCUGAUGUCUUCGGAUGGAUUUGAGUAGGAGCAUAACUGUUCGGACCCGAAAGAUGGUGAACUAUGCGUGGAUAGGGUGAAGCCAGAGGAAACUCUGGUGGAGGCUCGCAGCGGUUCUGACGUGCAAAUCGAUCGUCAAAUCUGCGCAUGGGGGCGAAAGACUUAUCGAACCAUUAAACCAGCGGUAAAUAACGAUUUACUAGGUGGUUAAGAGGCAUCCCGGGAGGGGUGCCUAGGUCGCGUGGGACGACCUACCCUGGAGCUACCCUGUACUUACCUACCCUGUAGCUACCCUGGAGUAGGGGGUUCCGGCCGACACCGCUAAAUUGCGGGGACGUCCUAUCAGAAGGCCGUAGGCUACCGCCGCGCGCUGAAAAGCGCCGCGGCACCAAGAAUAGCGCUCUUGGGUACGGUAAUAACGCCUGCGGUAACGGAUAACCUGCAGCCAACCCCGCGCACCACAGGGGAGAGUUCACUGACUAAAUAGCGGUGGGUUAGCUGUAAGCUAGCUUAAGACAUAGUCGAUCCGGGCCCUGAAAAGG